rnacentral:tRNA from 1 species
GGCUCCUUGGUCAAGCGGUUUAGACACCGCCCUUUCACGGAGGUAACACGGGUUCGUGUCCCGUAGGAGUCA